UGGCUCAGAGGUUAAAGCAUCUGCCUGGAAUGCGGGAAACCUGGGUUCGAUUCCUGG
rnacentral:tRNA from 1 species